rnacentral:rRNA from 1 species
UACGUAGGGGGGCAAGCGUUAUCCGGAAUCAUUGGGCGUAAAGCGCGUGUAGGCGGUUCCGUAAGUCCGCUCUGAAAGCCCAGGGCUCAACCCUGGGAGGCGGGUGGAUACUACGGAACUGGAGUACGGAAGAGGGAGAUUGGAAUUCCUGGUGUAGCGGUGAAAUGCGCAGAUAUCAGGAGGAACACCAACAGCGAAGGCAGACUCUGGGACGUUACUGACGCUGAGACGCGAAAGCGUGGGGAGCAAACAGG